rnacentral:rRNA from 1 species
UACGGAGGGUGCGAGCGUUGUUCGGAAUCACUGGGCGUAAAGCGCACGUAGGCGGCUUUGCAAGUUAGAGGUGAAAGCCCGGGGCUCAACUCCGGAAUUGCCUUUAAAACUGCAUCGCUAGAGUUGUGGAGAGGUAAGUGGAAUUCCGAGUGUAGAGGUGAAAUUCGUAGAUAUUCGGAAGAACACCGGUGGCGAAGGCGGCCUGCUGGGCAGUAGCCGAAAGGCUUUCAAGCUGACACUGAGGCGCGACAGCGUGGGGAGCAAACAGG